rnacentral:rRNA from 1 species
CCCUUAGAUGUCCUGGGCCGCACGCGCGCUACACUGACAUGUUCAACAAGCCUCCUAGUUCGACAGGAUUUGGGAAAUCUUUGAACGCAUGUCGUGAUAGGGAUAGAUCAUUGCAAUUAUUGAUCUUGAACGAGGAAUUCCUAGUGAACGCGAGUCAUCAGCUCGCAUUGAUUACGUCCCUGCCCUUUGUACACACCGCCCGUCGCACCUACCGAUUGAAUGUUUCGGUGAAGAUUCCGGAUAGGACUUUUUUGAUUUAUUUCAAUUUUGUCUUAAAAGCUAUCUAAACCUCAACAUUUAGAGGAAGGUGAAGUCGUAACA